rnacentral:rRNA from 1 species
GAUGAACGCUGGCGGCGUGCCUAAUACAUGCAAGUCGAGCGAACGGACGAGAAGCUUGCUUCUCUGAUGUUAGCGGCGGACGGGUGAGUAACACGUGGAUAACCUACCUAUAAGACUGGGAUAACUUCGGGAAACCGGAGCUAAUACCGGAUAAUAUUUUGAACCGCAUGGUUCAAAAGUGAAAGACGGUCUUGCUGUCACUUAUAGAUGGAUCCGCGCUGCAUUAGCUAGUUGGUAAGGUAACGGCUUACCAAGGCAACGAUGCAUAGCCGACCUGAGAGGGUGAGCAGCCAAAGUGGAACUGAGACAGGGGCAAGAGUCCUACGGGAGGCAGAAGGGGGGAAUAUUGGACAAUGGGCGCAAGCCUGACGGAGCAAUACCGCGUGAGUGAAGAAGGUCUUCGGGUUGUAAAGCUCUUUUGUUGGGAAAGAACAGAAGCGGACGAAUACCCCGCGGUCCUGACGGUACGCAAUGAAAAAGCAACGGCUAACUUCGUG